CUUCAUCAUCACACAAACCAAAAGAACAACAAUGACUUUCAUCAUCAUCUUCAUCUGGACACUCACAGUCUUUACUCAAGUGUGUAGAGGACAGUACACUGUUACUCAGAGUCCAUCAAUAACAGCAGUUCAACCAGGACAACAAGUUCAAAUAAACUGUGAAGUCAGCAGUAGAGUGUCUAGUGGUAAUCGUUUAGCCUGGUACUUACAGAAACCUGGAGAAGCUCCUAAACUCCUCAUAUAUUAUGCAACAACCCUCUACACAGGAACUCCAUCAAGAUUCAGUGGCAGCGGAUCAAACACAGAUUUCACUUUGACCAUCAGUGGAGUUCAGACUGAAGAUUCAGGAGAUUAUUACUGUCAGAGUUAUCACAGUGGUGUUGUGUUGACACAGUGAUAAAGAGUGAUACAAAAACCUCUGUCAGUCAGACUCACAGUGACUGAACUCAUACACCUGACAGAUACUGCAGAUGAUGAUGCUGAUAGUUUAUUUAACUUACAGAUUAUUUAUUUUGAACUAUAGUUUAUUUAAAUGACAACUUUAUAGACAAUUAUACAGGUAAUAGAUUAUUUUUGUAAGUUUAAAAAUUGUAUCAUUGAUUUAUUGUCUGUCUAUUAAUGUCUGCUGUGUUAAAGCAGCAUGAUUUUUAUUAUUAUUGUACUACAGUUUAAUUCACAAUAUAAAAAACGAAUGAUAAUCACUCAUAUAGGGACACGUCAGUAAGAAUCAUUGACCACAUUUACUUGAACUCUC